rnacentral:rRNA from 1 species
UACGGAGGGUGCAAGCGUUAUCCGGAUUUACUGGGUUUAAAGGGUGCGUAGGCGGACCAUUAAGUCAGAUGUGAAAGCCCCGAGCUUAACUUGGGAACUGCGUUUGAUACUGGUGGUCUUGAAUUAGAUAGAAGUGGGCGGAAUAAUUAUGUAGCGGUGAAAUGCUUAGAUAUGAAUUAGAACACCGAUUGCGAAGGCAGCUCACUAUGCCUAUAUUGACGCUGAGGCACGAAAAGCGUGGGGAUCAAACAGG